rnacentral:rRNA from 1 species
GAUGAACGCUGGCGGCGUGCCUAAUACAUGCAAGUCGAGCGAACAGACGAGGAGCUUGCUCCUCUGACGUUAGCGGCGGACGGGUGAGUAACACGUGGAUAACCUACCUAUAAGACUGGGAUAACUUCGGGAAACCGGAGCUAAUACCGGAUAAUAUAUUGAACCGCAUGGUUCAAUAGUGAAAGACGGUUUUGCUGUCACUUAUAGAUGGAUCCGCGCCGCAUUAGCUAGUUGGUAAGGUAACGGCUUACCAAGGCAACGAUGCGUAGCCGACCUGAGAGGGUGAUCGGCCACACUGGAACGGAGACACGGUCCAGAAGCCUACGGGAGGCAGCAGUAGGGAAUCUUCCGCAAUGGGCGAAAGCCUGACGGAGCAACGCCGCGUGAGUGAUGAAGGUCUUCGGAUCGUAAAACUCUGUUAUUAGGGAAGAACAAAUGUGUAAGUAACUAUGCACGUCUUGACGGUACCUAAUCAGAAAGCCACGGCUAACUACGUG